rnacentral:rRNA from 1 species
UGUCAGUGGUAGGAGAGCGUUCUAAGGGCGUUGAAGCUAGACCGAAAGGACUGGUGGAGCGCUUAGAAGUGAGAAUGCCGGUAUGAGUAGCGAAAGAUGAGUGAGAAUCUCAUCCACCGAAUGCCUAAGGUUUCCUGAGGAAGGCUCGUCCGCUCAGGGUUAGUCGGGACCUAAGCCGAGGCCGAAAGGCGUAGGCGAUGGACAACAGGUUGAUAUUCCUGUACCACCUCUAAAUCGUUUGAGUGAUGGGGGGACGCAGGAGGAUAGGGUAAGCGCGCUGCUGGUCAUGCGCGUCCAAGCAGUUAGGCUGGUGAAUAGGAAAAUCCGUUCACCGUAAAAGCUGAGCUGUGACGGCGAGGGAAAUCUAGUACCGAAGUUCCUGAUUCCACACUGCCAAGAAAAGCCUCUAGCGAGAUUUAAGGUGCCCGUACCGCAAACCGACACAGGUAGGCGAGGAGAGAAUCCUAAGGUGAGCGAGAGAACUCUCGUUAAGGAACUCGGCAAAAUGACCCCGUAACUUCGGGAGAAGGGGUGCUUUUUAGGGUGAAUAGCUCUGAAAAGCCGCAGUGAAUAGGCCCAGGCGACUGUUUAGCAAAAACACAGGUCUCUGCGAAGCCGCAAGGCGAAGUAUAGGGGCUGACGCCUGCCCGGUGCUGGAAGGUUAAGAGGAGGGGUUAGCUCACGCGAAGCUCUGAAUCGAAGCCCCAGUAAACGGCGGCCGUAACUAUAACGGUCCUAAGGUAGCGAAAUUCCUUGUCGGGUAAGUUCCGACCCGCACGAAAGGCGUAACGAUCUGGGCACUGUCUCAACGAGAGACUCGGUGAAAUUAUAGUACCUGUGAAGAUGCAGGUUACCCGCGACAGGACGGAAAGACCCCAUGGAGCUUUACUGUAGCCUGAUAUUGAAUUUUGGUACAGCUUGUACAGGAUAGGUAGGAGCCUGAGAAACCGGAGCGCCAGCUUCGGUGGAGGCGUCGGUGGGAUACUACCCUGGCUGUAUUGAAAUUCUAACCCGCACCCCUUAUCGGGGUGGGAGACAGUGUCAGGUGGGCAGUUUGACUGGGGCGGUCGCCUCCUAAAGAGUAACGGAGGCGCCCAAAGGUUCCCUCAGAAUGGUUGGAAAUCAUUCGCAGAGUGUAAAGGCACAAGGGAGCUUGACUGCGAGACCUACAAGUCGAGCAGGGACGAAAGUCGGGCUUAGUGAUCCGGUGGUUCCGCAUGGAAGGGCCAUCGCUCAACGGAUAAAAGCUACCCUGGGGAUAACAGGCUUAUCUCCCCCAAGAGUCCACAUCGACGGGGAGGUUUGGCACCUCGAUGUCGGCUCAUCGCAUCCUGGGGCUGUAGUCGGUCCCAAGGGUUGGGCUGUUCGCCCAUUAAAGCGGUACGCGAGCUGGGUUCAGAACGUCGUGAGACAGUUCGGUCCCUAUCCGUCGUGGGCGCAGGAAAUUUGAGAGGAGCUGUCCUUAGUACGAGAGGACCGGGAUGGACGCACCGCUGGUGUACCAGUUGUCUUGCCAAAGGCAUCGCUGGGUAGCUAUGUGCGGACGGGAUAAGUGCUGAAAGCAUCUAAGCAUGAAGCCCCCCUCGAGAUGAGAUUUCCCUCAAGCGUAAGCUUGGUAAGAUCCCUGAAAGAUGAUCAGGUUGAUAGGUCAGGGGUGGAAGCAUGGUGACAUGUGGAGCUGACUGAUACUAAUCGAUCGAGGACUUAACCUA